UCACAUAAUAACAGGAUGUGGCAACGCACUUGACAAAUAUUUACAUGUCCUUCCACUUGUUAGGGGUAUUACCAGAAAGCUAAAGCAUUGUAGAUAUAUUAACGUAUCAAGCAAUUAAAAUCUUGGAAAAUAUUUACUUGCUCUUUACACUGCUUUUUGGCGUAUUCCCAGGUAACUGAAGACUUGGAUAUAGGUUAAAUAUCAGCUAUAAACUUAGCACAAGCCUUUUUAGUCGGUAAUAAAUCUAAACCUAACUAAAUGCUUGACCAAUAUAAGCAUGCCCUCGCACACUUUAGAAAUAUUCCCAGAUGAGGAUCGGAAGCUAUAGAUAAUUUUAUAGGGUAUUCCCAGGUAGCUGAAGACUUGGAUUUAGGUUAAAUAACAACUAUUAGCUAAAGCACCUGCAGCUUCUGAGCACAAGCAUUUUUACAGGGUACUUAAUCCGAACCUAACUAAAUACUUGACAAAUAUUUACAUGCCCCACACUCUUCCUAUAUGGCUUUAAGAUCUAUUAAGAUAUCAGCCACAAGCGAAAGAAUCUACGCAACCUAGCAAUUCUACAGAAUAUCAAUCAAACAAAUCUUAGCUAAGCUCAGACUACAAAACUAAGUAACCAAAUGGUCAAACGGUGUCCGACUAGAAAAUACUCUGCAACACGCUAAGCUUGAGGCUGCGCUCUUUAAGUUGAGAACUUUAUUCCUAAAUAAGUCUAAAGUUUAUUGUCGGUUUGUUUUAAAUUUUUCACUUAAUGGACUCUACGGAAUUUGGCCAUCUUUAAAUGUUAAAA